AGUUCACUGGACUGGCAGAGGGAGCUUGGGAGGGCUUUUGCUGAUGCCACUUGUUCUUCUUGCCAUAAAGACGGUGUCUGACUUCCAGGCAACAAUGCACACAGAAGUUACAAGUGUGGAUACUAGAGUCAGAGCCUGGAUUCCAAUGCUGCUUCUUAACAGCUGUGUGACUUUCCACAAGUAAUGCAACAUCUCUGGGUCUCUGUUUCCUGUUCUGCAAAAUGGGGGUACUGUCUACUUGCCCCAGGGACCUGCUGUGCUGAGGAUCAUUCCCAGGAAGCACCUAGCACCAUGCUGGGUCCUGGCAAGCCACUGACAAAUGUUCACUGUCACAAUGGCCCUGCUUCCUCUGGUGCUCGGCACCAGGCUGACAUCGAGUACACAGUCAAUGAAGAAACAAGGAGACUCUGCAAGGAGAUACAUUAGGAUGAUGUACUGACAAAGCCUUGGGAAAACUGCUGGUGCCUUUGCUGGGGGGAAGAUUUCCAGAUGGAGCUCCUCAGGAUGGCCUGCCAAUCCAAUAAACUCAGGUUCCUAGAAAGCCUCCCCCACCCCACCCCACCCCCACUCUGUAAGCCCCACCCAAACCAGGACAGCAGCAAUUCUCCCCUUCCCCUGGUGUGCCUUCCCCGGUGGUCUGUUUCUUUAGGACAGGAACGCAGCUGUCUGGAAGGCACCCAGGGAAGCCAUUCCUUGGGACAUGUCCCCUGACCCACCCCCGGCAAGGCUGGGAUGACAGAAGGACAAACCCAGCCAAACAUAUGGACCCGUGGCCCAGGAUAGGCAACAGCUGGGCCACUGCCUGACUUUUCUUCUGCUCCUUGGAAUAUUCUGGCAAUGAGAAGACAUAGUCUCAGCAACUUAUAGACAUUUUCCCAGGAAAUCCUAACCGCUAAGGGAACAAUUUGCUCCAUUCUCACACAUUUCAAUCUACUUAUUUGGAAGACCAAUCCUUGCGUGGGCAUGCACGCACAUGCGCGCGCGCGCGCACACACACACACACACACACACACACACACACACCCUUCAUGUGGUCUUGUGUAGAAGUACACAAACCUGAUAAUAGCAACCACUAAUAUUUAGUAUAUGCUAAGUAAUAAAAGUAGCUACUAUAGUCAUCAUCUCAUAUAGUCCUCACAACAAGCAUUGAGACAGGGGCUCUAUCCACAUUUCACAGAUGAGGACACAGAGGUGGGCUGCCUUUCACAGAACAAGCUGCUAGCCAUGCUGGGGCUGGCGUCGGAGCCCAGGUCUAAGAACUCUGGUACAAGGAAUCCACUCCCUUUCCCGGAUUUGCCUCCUCCACCUGUGCUUAAGGAGUUAACCUUGUCGGAGAGGUUUUCUUUCCUUGGUUAUGUUUUCUAUUCUUUGGGUAAGUUUGACAAAGUGGGGUUCUUUUUCAUCGCCAGAGUCUGUGUCCCUGGAGGCUGAGGAAGGAACCAGAAGUUGCACUUUCCAACAUGGAUCGCCUGCUAAUUUUCCAAGGCAGCUCAGCCCCUGCCAGCGUCCCCUCCCUCCUUUGGGCUGAGGGCCCAGGAACCCAGCCUCAAAGUUCAGCUUGCUUCCUCCAGCACGCACAUUUGGAAAUUGAAAUUUCCCACAUUUUCACCACACAAAAGCCAGGUUGUAUUUUUGUUCUCUUCAAAAUAUGCCAAAGGAAUUUUUCCUACCCCUUGAACUUUCUCCAAAAAUAAGUAGAAAAAGUCAAGACCAUUUUGCCCUGUAAGCUGAGAAUAGAAAAAUCAACAUGCAGGGUGCCAUUUCCAGGAUGUUACGAAACAGCGAACAUGUGAAUCCGUCUCAACACCAUUUGGCAACUUUGGGGAUACAGUAGAUGAUAUUUCUCACCCACAAACUCCUCACUGAGUUUAUAUUAACAUUUUGCUUUUUUUUUUUAAAAAAAAAGAAAAAAGA
rnacentral:lncRNA from 1 species